GCAGGGAUUGGGGAGCGGUCAAACCUCCCGGCUUCAGGAGCCGGCCGCUUAGUGCGUUCGGCGGUUCGAAUCCGCCUCCCUGCA
rnacentral:tRNA from 1 species